rnacentral:lncRNA from 1 species
UUUUAUUAACACAUGCAACAUGUAUAUCAAGUGUCACCAUAGGAAAUAUCAGCCAACAUACAAUGCAUUUAUUUAUCAAGUAUAUCCCAGCCACAAGUCGGCCCCAUACUCACACGCAGUUAUCCUGCACAUUAGAAACAACCAAUAAAUUAUUCAGGUUCUAUUUCCCUAGCUUAAGCUCAGUUCCUCUAUAUGCCCGCUCAUAUUUCCUCACACUAAACUCUUAUACAUUCUAUAUAUUUGCUAUACCUCUUCAUUAGUUCUCCUCUAUUUGGGAAUGAUGGUUUUCUAUUAUGUUUUACCUUUUUUUAUGACUCAGUUUGUGUAUAAGGAUAUCAGAUUUGUGUUCUCUUUCAUCUCUAUGUUGGAUUUAAGCCUACCAUUUCUUUUUUCCAUGAUUUUUCCAUAUCAUAGCCUACUCGUUCUUGUCCUUCUCCACUUCUUAGUAUCUAUUCAUGCUCUCUCCUCACCCGACUAUCUUAUUCGGUUCUCCCAACUCAACCCCUUUAGAUCUGGUCAUUUCUAAAAUAUAUUCAGCUGAUCACCAAAUUUUAUUUAACUAACAUUACUCUUACCUUCAACAGCCUCCACUGAUUUAGUAUUUAAUCACAACUUCCCUAUUUUAUAAUAAUUAUCGUUUAAAUGUAUGUAAAUAAAUCAUAUGAUGCAUAAUUCAUAAAUCAUAUGAUGCAUAAUUCCUAACUCCUCACCGUGCAUUCAUCAUUCGAAACAAGUAAUUCAAAUAUACUUUUCAAAUUCAGUGUUUAAAGUUAAAAUUUGUCUUACCUCUUGCUUUCGAAUGAAUGUUUGUCUAUGACAGUGGUCCUUCUCGUCCCCGCAAUUCUUGACGAGAAUUCCUU